rnacentral:rRNA from 1 species
UAGCUUGCUAAUGAAAUUCUUAGUGGCGGACGGGUUAGUAACACGUGAGAAUCCUACCCUUGAGUGGGGAAUAGCCUUUCGAAAGGAAGAUUAAUGCCCCAUAGUCUCUACGGAGUAAAGAUGCCUUCGGGUGUCGCUUAAGGAUGGGCUCGCGGCCUAUCAGCUAGUUGGUGAGGUAAGAGCUCACCAAGGCAACGACGGGUAGCUGGUCUGAGAGGACGAUCAGCAACACUGGAACUGAGACACGGUCCAGACACCUACGGGUGGCAGCAGUCGAGAAUCAUUCACAAUGGACGAAAGUCUGAUGGUGCAACGCCGCGUGGAGGAUGACGGCCCUAGGGUUGUAAACUCCUGUCAUCAGGGAGUAAGACUUAUUCGUUAAUAGCGUGUAAGUUUGAUAGUACCUGAAGAGGAAGGGACGGCUAACUUCGUGCCAGCAGCCGCGGUAAUACGAUGGUCCCAAGCGUUGUUCGGAAUAACUGGGCGUAAAGCGUGUGUAGGCCGCGCGGAAAGUCGGAUGUGAAAGCCCAAGGCUCAACCU